AACGAACGCUGGCGGCAUGCCUAACACAUGCAAGUCGAACGAGACCUUCGGGUCUAGUGGCGCACGGGUGCGUAACGCGUGGGAACCUGCCCUUAGGUUCGGAAUAACUCCCCGAAAGGAGUGCUAAUACCGGAUAAUGUCUUCGGACCAAAGAUUUAUCGCCUUUGGAUGGGCCCGCGUUGGAUUAGCUAGUUGGUAGGGUAAAAGCCUACCAAGGCGGCGAUCCAUAGCUGGUCUGAGAGGAUGAUCAGCCACACUGGGACUGAGACACGGCCCAGACUCCUACGGGAGGCAGCAGUGGGGAAUAUUGGACAAUGGGCGAAAGCCUGAUCCAGCAAUGCCGCGUGAGUGAUGAAGGCCUUAGGGUUGUAAAGCUCUUUUACCCGGGAUGAUAAUGACAGUACCGGGAGAAUAAGCUCCGGCUAACUCCGUG
rnacentral:rRNA from 1 species